CAGGAAAGGCAAGGGUUAGGGUCAGGAGUUGUGCAAGUAAGACCUGUUGAUUUCUUAUGUGCAUGUGUCAGUGUGGCAGGGCUGGGACAAGGAGGACUCGUGCAGGUACCUACAAAGAAGGUGGGAAUAGGAGCGUGUUGUGGAAAGGAAAAUUCCAGGAAGUGGGCUGUGACAAGAGAAUUGGCUCCCAGGAGGCUGAGGAUCAGGGCAAGCUCUGCACAGGGUACGACUUCCACACCCCCGGGCAAAUGGAGAAGAAGUAACAUCUGCCUCCAGCUGGCUGGAGUUCCUGUUUACUCUGGGCUUUCUGUCCACCAGGAGGGGAUCAUGGCCAGAGUCAUUCAAACCUGGAGAAUGAUGGCCUUCACACCAUCCCUUCAGCCCGUUCAGGGCAGGCUGCUGCCCAUUGGCCCCUGAUCGCAAUCCCCUUCCUGGAUGUGGAAGUGAUGGUGUUUAGGGAAUGCUGAUUGUAUUUCCCAAACUUUGGCAACAUGGUCAUUAAAAAGAGAAAAAUAUCAAGUCUAUGGAAA